rnacentral:rRNA from 1 species
UACGGGGGGGGGCAAGCGUUGUUCGGAAUUACUGGGCGUAAAGGGCUCGUAGGCGGCCAACUAAGUCAGACGUGAAAUCCCCGGGCUUAACCUGGGAACUGCAUUUGUGACUGCAUUGACGUGGACGUUAGGACGGGUCAAGCAGGGGGGGAUUGGAAAUUGACCGGGCUGGGUGGGUAAAGCAUUCCGGUCGGAAAUUGGUACGGUUAGGGUAGUAAAAUUGGCCGGGAUGGAAACAGCCAAGUUAGGUCGGAGGCCGGGGACCGGAAACCCACCUAGGGUAC